AUGGAGACAUUUCCGCCGCCUCCGAUUCCUCCGCUGCCCGCGAAUGUCUCCUCCGCUCCGCCGCCGCCGCCGCCGCUUCUGCAUCAGCAGGCCGGGUCUGCUCCUGCGCCGGCAACGCUCCUGGUGCGGCACCUCCCAGAGGCGAUCACUCAGGACAUGCUCGCCGGGCUCUUCUCCCGCUACGGCGCCACAUCCUUUCGCCCAUGCGGUGGAAAGUUGAGGAACUGUGCGUUUGUGGAUUUUAGGGACGAGAUGGCGGCCAAUCAGGCGCAGUCUCAGUUGAACAGGUAUGCAUAUCCACCACCAGAUGGAAACAUAUUGAACAAUAUUGUCAACUCUCUCAUUGCCGUUCCCCGAUUUUACAAUCAGGUGUUGCAUUUGAUGAACAAGAUGAACCUUCCAGCUCCAUUUCGGAUGGCAUUGCCUACUCCACCUCUACCAUCACAAGGGCCUCUUCCUCCUCCCCCUCCACCACCGCAGCCUUCUAUGACAGAGAAACUUCACUUGGCUGAUUUGUCUAGUGAUGAGUCUGAGAUGGAGUCUUCUGAUGAAGAUGUUGAUACAAGGGAAGUCAAGCGCGCAAAGCAUGAAGCUAUUGUUGGUCCUGCAGUUGAUAGAAGUGUCGCUCAUGAAUCGGUCGGGGUGAAACCAGUUGCAUUAGUUCCCAAUGAGCUUCAAGUAAUAAAAAAGAAAAACCCAGUACUGCAGAUAAAAAUUGUCCCUAAGGCUGCUUAUAAGGAACUUGCUGAUCGGAGUAUUAUCGACAAGGAAUUGGCCUCUAGAGAUGAACAACUUGAAGAAAAACAUUUUGCCACACCUCAGGAAAUAGAGAAAGAGAAAUUACCGACGGAGGAGAUUUUGUCCCUUCCCAUGUUCAAGAAUUACACUCCAGGGAAUCCUGCCAGUGUAUUAUAUAUUAAGAACUUGGCAAAGGAUGUUGUUCAUGAUGACUUCUACUAUGUCUUUGGAUCUGUGUUUGAAAGCUUGGACGCUGCAAGAUCUGGCUUAAGUAUAAAGUUAAUGCAGGAAGGUCGAAUGCGGGGCCAAGCUUUUGUGACGUUUCCAUCUCUUGAACAUGCUCAACGCGCACUGAAUUUAGCGCAUGGUUAUGCAUUCAAAGGCAAGCCGAUGAUCAUUCAGUUUGGUAGGAACCCUGGUGCUAGCAAAGCGUCCUAG
rnacentral:rRNA from 1 species